GUACACGCUGUGACUAGCAUAUCAAUAAGCGGAGGAAAAGAAACUAACAAGGAUUCCCCUAGUAACGGCGAGUGAAGCGGGAAGAGCUCAAAUUUGAAAUCUUAAAGGGUUUCCCUUUACGAAUUGUAGUUUAAAGAAGUGUUUUCUGUUGAGGUUUUGGUAAAAGUUCUUUGGAAUAGGACAUCAUAGAGGGUGAGAAUCCCGUAUUUGACCUUUACUUUCAACUUUGUGAUACACUUUCAAAGAGUCGGAUUGUUUGGGAAUGCAGUCCAAAAUGGGUGGUAAAUUUCAUCUAAAGCUAAAUAUUGGCGAGAGACCGAUAGCGAACAAGUACCGUGAGGGAAAGAUGAAAAGAACUUUGAAAAGAGAGUUAAACAGUACGUGAAAUUGUCAAAAGGGGAGCGUUUGACACCAGUGUUGUUUUUCUGAAAAUCAAUUAAAGAACUGUUUAUGCUAAGUUGUUUAGACUUUAUCAGCUAACUGUUUAGUUUUGAGCUUUUCUUUAAUGCACUUUUCAGUUAACAAGUCAACAUCAAUUUCUUUUGCUGUAAAAAAGCUUGAGGAAGGUGGCUUGAGAUUCGUCUUAAGUGUUUAUAGCCUCUUGCCUAUGCAGUCGGAGAGAUUGAGGUCUGCAGCGUAGAUCCUUCGGGGCUAAAUGCAUUUGUGCUAAGUUAUAGCAUUUUAUAGACAACUUGUUGACUAUGAUUUGUCUUGUAGCUUACUCGCUUGUGUUAUUUUACCUACGCUUAGGAUGUUGAGGAUGUAGCACAUCAU
rnacentral:rRNA from 1 species